rnacentral:rRNA from 1 species
UGCAGUCGAGCGGUAAGGCCUUUCGGGGUACACGAGCGGCGAACGGGUGAGUAACACGUGGGUGAUCUGCCCUGCACUUCGGGAUAAGCCUGGGAAACUGGGUCUAAUACCGGAUAUGACCUCAUGUUGCAUGACUUGUGGUGGAAAGAUUUAUCGGUGCAGGAUGGGCCCGCGGCCUAUCAGCUUGUUGGUGGGGUAAUGGCCUACCAAGGCGACGACGGGUAGCCGACCUGAGAGGGUGACCGGCCACACUGGGACUGAGACACGGCCCAGACUCCUACGGGAGGCAGCAGUGGGGAAUAUUGCACAAUGGGCGAAAGCCUGAUGCAGCGACGCCGCGUGAGGGAUGACGGCCUUCGGGUUGUAAACCUCUUUCAGCAGGGACGAAGCGCAAGUGACGGUACCUGCAGAAGAAGCACCGGCUAACUACGUGCCAGCAGCCGCGGUAAUACGUAGGGUGCAAGCGUUGUCCGGAAUUACUGGGCGUAAAGAGUUCGUAGGCGGUUUGUCGCGUCGUUUGUGAAAACCAGCAGCUCAACUGCUGGCUUGCAGGCGAUACGGGCAGACUUGAGUACUGCAGGGGAGACUGGAAUUCCUGGUGUAGCGGUGAAAUGCGCAGAUAUCAGGAGGAACACCGGUGGCGAAGGCGGGUCUCUGGGCAGUAACUGACGCUGAGGAACGAAAGCGUGGGUAGCGAACAGGAUUAGAUACCCUGGUAGUCCACGCCGUAAACGGUGGGCGCUAGGUGUGGGUUCCUUCCACGGAAUCCGUGCCGUAGCUAACGCAUUAAGCGCCCCGCCUGGGGAGUACGGCCGCAAGGCUAAAACUCAAAGGAAUUGACGGGGGCCCGCACAAGCGGCGGAGCAUGUGGAUUAAUUCGAUGCAACGCGAANAACCUUACCUGGNUUUGACAUAUACCGGAANGCUGCANAGAUGUGGCCCCCNUUGUGGUCGGUAUACAGGUGGUGCAUGGCUGUCGUCANCUCNUGUCGUGAGAUGUUGGNUUAAGUCCCGCAACGAGCGCAACCCCUAUCUUAUGUUGCCAGCACGUUAUGGUGGGGACUCGUAAGAGACUGCCGGGGUCAACUCGGAGGAAGGUGGGGACGACGUCAAGUCAUCAUGCCCCUUAUGUCCAGGGCUUCACACAUGCUACAAUGGCCAGUACAGAGGGCUGCGAGACCGUGAGGUGGAGCGAAUCCCUUAAAGCUGGUCUCAGUUCGGAUCGGGGUCUGCAACUCGACCCCGUGAAGUCGGAGUCGCUAGUAAUCGCAGAUCAGCAACGCUGCGGUGAAUACGUUCCCGGGCCUUGUACACACCGCCCGUCACGUCAUGAAAGUCGGUAACACCCGAAGCCGGUGGCUUAACCCCUUGUGGGAGGAGCCU